rnacentral:lncRNA from 1 species
UUUGCUCUUCUUCAUCCCGCAUCUCAGCUUUUCUCCUCUAACAAAUCGCCAGCAACGGCAUGGCUGCCCAUCGCCCCCGGCCACCCGUCGCCGGCAGGCGAGGUCGUCGGCGUCGACUCAACUGAGGCUGCGUGCUGCAACCCGCCACGACGGACAGCCGCUAGCCUGGGGCGACGGCCUGGCCGUGCGCCACCACACCCCGAGUCCUCUUGCGUUUGCGCUGCACGCUCCGACGAGGCCUUGCUACGAGCGGCGACCGGUCGCCGGAGACUGGCACAGCAGCGAGGCAUGCUGCAACCUGCGUCCGUCGAAGCUGGAACCGCCAUCUCGGCGUGCUGCAACCAGGCAACACAGAGCUGCGACGGGGGCGGGUGGCGACGGGCGGGGCUGGGAUUGCUGGAGCCAGCGACGGGAGGUACUACAACCGGUGUCAUCGGGAGCAUCGACGGUCCGCGGCGGUGCUCCAAAUUUUUCUUUGGUGGAAAGACAACGAGGUGGCUUCUUUUGCUGGAACCGGCCCAUACUUUUGCUACUACCUUCUUUUGAUUUUGCUGGAGCCGGCUAGAAAUUUGCUACUACCGUAUUUUGAUUUUCGCUGAAAGAAGCCUAAUUUUUUGCGACCACCGUCUUCUACUUUUGCUGGAACCAGUAUUUGAUUUUGUUUUUUGCUGGAAACAUUAUUUGAUUUUGCUGGAACCAGCGAGUGGAUUUGCUACAACUAGCGCCCAGAUUUGCUACAAACCACAACAAUGAAGUGUCGCCGGCGGUGACGGUGCUGUGAUUUUUGCUACAACCGGUGCCCAGAUUUGCUACAAGCCUACAACCAACGACAACGAAGUGUGGCCGGCGACGACGGUGCUGCGAUUAUUUUUGGUUGCAACCAGGGAACGGCGAGCGUGGCCGGCGAAGACGACACACGAUUUUUUGUUGCUGCAGCGGGUGCUGGGAUUUUAUGCGGAACCAUGGGGGCUCCUGGAACUGCGGUUGUCCGGGAUCGAGAAUGGCGAGCUGGCGGCGCGGGAGAGGAAGGAUUCUCUCGUUCGUGCUAUUGGCGAGUCACGACAGCGCGUAGGGGGUGCAGCGAGCGACGCCGGGAGGAGGGAUUCGCCCAGGUCUCUGAUUUGGGGACGAAGCAGUGGGGAAUAAGAAGAUAUGAUGACGUGGGGAUAGGGAUCGGAUGGCUAUGGGGUACAAAAUCGGACGGAUUGCGUGCGACCGGCCGAACCGUAGUGCCGGUCCGCCGGCGCCUAACAAUCGCCUUUCAUCCAUGAUAAAAAUGCUUAAAAUUGUUGUUUGCUUUUUUACUUAAAUGGCAUGCUAAAAUGGUUUAUUUCAUAACUAAAUAACCGUAACUCUGAAUUUAAUAAAUUAUAUAUGUAACGUGCUCAGAAAAAUGCAUAGAUAAACUUGGUGCACUUAUUUUGCAUGCUUAACAACUCUAAAAUUGUGUAUAGGUAGAACAGUACCAAAUUUAAAAUAUGCGCAUGAGAAUUUUCCGGAAUUGUUGUUCGUUGUUCCGGCCUCAUUUAAACUUGCCUAAAUAGUUACUUUACUUAUGCUUCACCUCUUGC